UCUGCAGCCGUCUCCCUCACCCCUAAAUCUGUGAUCUGUGUCUCACGACUUCUCCUUACUCUCUCUCCCGCCCUCUCUCUUGUCUCUGCGCCGAAAACUCUCUCUCAAUCUCUCCGAAACCCUAGCCGUCGUCCCUCUCUAUCUCUCCAAAACUCUAGCCGUCGUCCCUCUCUGUCUCUCCGAAACUCUAGCCGUCGUCUUCAUCCUCUGCCUCAUCGUCAUCCUCUUGCUGAUAUAUUAUAAGACUAAGGUUGGCAUGGAUCGGGCACAAUUUAUGAUACGCACCGUUCAUGGAGUGCCUAUUGACAUACUGUGAAGGUGCUACUAGAUAUUGUUGAGCAUGUUCGGAAGUCGAUUGGAUGAAUCAACUCCUCGACCUUGUCAACAGCACGUAUUACAAAGCUAGUCGAGACUCAAGGAGACGUGCACCCAAGAGAUCAUGGAGUAUCGGUAGGUGAGAAAUUAAUGCAAGAGGCAUCAUACACUGCUAUUCGUAAGGAGAAUGCAGAUAUAAUACGUGCAGAGAGCCAUGCAUAGACAUCAGAGAUGAUCGAUGUAGUGUGUAUGGAGAUCCGAAGUGCCAUCUCUGAUUUACGUACAAAGAUUAAACUGAUUUACGUACAGAGAUUGCUACCAUUUCUGUGACUUAGGUGACGAUCAAUACUCAACUAACAUAGCUAAAGACACACCUAGCUGGAGUCGAGGAUAUGGUUAGAGAUUUGGGUGGAUGGUAGUGUGCAUAUUUUAUUUGCAUUUUUUUUGUAUGGAAAAUAUUAUGUAUUUUGUAAAAUUAAUUUAAUUAUUAAUCAUCUUUUCCUUUUUU